CGAUAAACGAUAUAUAAAAGUGAAAUAAAAGGGAUAAUAAUUUGGUUGGAUACGGUUUUUAAUCGGUGUUCGCGAGCGGACCAUUUAUUUCCAUCUUGUUUUAUCGGUGCAACUUUUGCGGUAUUAUGUCAUCGGUUGGAUUAGAUUCCGCGACGUGGCAUGGCGCGCCAUUAACCUAUCCCCUUGUUUUUCGCUGUAAACUGCAAGCUGUCAACGAUAAGCGACUGGUUUUCGUGGAAAGAAAGAUAUCGCGUAACGUCGAUAAUCGAAAUUGGUGCUCGAUAACUUCUCGUUCUAUUGUCCCAAGGAAUCGCACGUGUAGGCGGAUCUCUUUUCUUUUUUCCUUUUUUCUACUUUUUCUUAUCUAUCUAAUCGCGGCCGGAAACUCGAACGAAUCCGUACUUACUUGGUCGUAAAUUCAUCGAACUUCAUCUUUCUGAACCGACUGUGAGAAUUAAGAAAAUAGCUUGGUCAGAAUCUGUUCUCGUGGUCCACGCUGUUCCACUAGUUUCCACCGAGGUCGAGAUUUCUCGUUAGAGGUUAAUUCGCGCAAUUGAGGCGAGGUUGCCAUCUUAAAACGAUUCUCCCUUCUCCCCUCCUCCUGUCCUGUCUGUCGGCUAUCGUUCUCCCCUUACCAGCUUGGAAACGGUUUCCCAUUUCGGAUACCAGGUCUCUACCCUGGCCUCUGUGUGACGCGACGCGGACGGGGAAACAAGCGGAAACGGAUGCAGGGGCAUGGAGGAAAAGCCACAAAGAGACAGACGCGGUUACGAUAGUACGGUGCAACAACGGGGCCGUGUAAAAUACGACGCUGUGUAAAGAAACGGUGGAUAUGAACACGAGAAGAAUCUCUCCUUCCUCUCCUUCCCGUUAAUUUCUAUUCCGUUCUAUUCCGUAAAAAAACGACGUUCUUGGCACGCUCGUUCGGAAAAUUUUCGCGGAUAUGAAAUUAAUUCUCGGCCUUUCAAAUCAAAAGCCUUUUUCAAAGUAUACGUAAGAGUAUAUUCUGCAAGACGUUGGCAAAGAGUGGUCUCGAUGUACGGGGGUUAGGGGGAGGGUAGUUUAUGCUCUCUGAAAUUAGUUUGUACACGGGAAAUUUAUCAUAACCACCCCUGGCCUCGCUCCAGUAACGUAAAUACUAUCGUAAGCGUGCAGCCGUCGUUUGCGAGAGGCUGUUUCUCCUCGGGGGAGGAAAGAAGAGGGUGGACCGGGGUCGACGUUCACCUAUUCGGUCGGAUUUCCAUCCAACAGACGACGAGAAUCCGUCGCGUUGAAUACUCGUCACGAAACUAAUGGCCCAUUUCCGCAGCCUUCGUAGCAGCCUUCCAGUGUUUCUCCAGUGCUUGCUUUUCUUUCGCCUCGAGCCCUUCUUCCUCCCAUCUCGUCUCCUCUUCCUUCCUUCCUUCCUUCCUUCCUUUCUUCCUUCCUUCCUUUCUUACUCCUUUUCUGUUUUUUCCCCGCACUUUUCGACGAUUAAGAAGGGGGAUAGAGGGAGAGGAGUAGGAGGAGGAAAUGUUGGAGGCAAAGGGCGAACACCAGCAGGGACGAUGAAGAACAAUUAAGUGGAUUAUCUUUCGUGAUUCUCUGAAAAGAACGGUGUCGAGGGGGAGGUGCGUCGACCCUCGUUCCCCUUUUGAUAAUUGUCCCGAAGAGUAGAUGUUGACCUUCGCGUGACGGCAGCCCCGACCAGGAAAGAUUCGUCUUUAUCGGUGGUUUUCAUUACGUGGGCUGCGGUUUACCAAGGAUGCCGCUCGCUCCGGUUUCCCCGUUACGAUAUAAUAAUGCCUGAUAGAUCGGAUAACGAUCUCGCCCGUUUCGAAUCUUCCUUUCGAGCGUCCCUCGAAUAUCCGCUGUUUCCUCUAUCGUCGCUCGAAUCGCUCGAUUUGGUUUUUUUUUUCCUUUUUUUAAUCCACUUUACUAUCGCGCGAUCGAAAUAGCAAACUCUCGGCCGGAAGUUACUCGCUCGAACGAUUCUUUUCGAAACUUGGGGUUUUAUCGCGUUCGCGACUCUUUUUUCUUUUUUUUUUUUUUUCGAAAACAGGGCGAUGGGAACAGAUCGAGACGGGAGAGAUUGGAGAAAAAUAGCGAAGUACGAGGAUAGGAUUGGGAGAGGCGAGGAUAGGAGUGGGGGAGGGGGGUGUGUAGAUGGAACAGUUCAAUGGCCGGAAAGCACAAAACCGAUGCUGGAAAUAAUGCCUCUCGUAGCGUAGCGUGCGGAAAAAUCGCAACAUGGCUGUCGCGUCACAUGCACUUUUCACUUUUUUUUUCGCGAUUUCUCCGCGAUUGAUUGACAGAUCAUACCGUCCCGGCCGGCGUAUCUCCUCUCUGUCGGGUAAUAUUCCAGGCCUGGAGCUGUGCUACCUCCGUGUCGUUUCGUUUCGGCUCGAGAAAAAUUCGACCAGCUGUCCGGCUUACUGACAGAUCGUAUUUACGAAUGCUCGGGCAAACUUUACACGCGUUUCGACCAUUAACCGUGAUGAUUUAGAUGCCGCUCGAGAACAUUUACAUCAUCCACGUUCCGUUCAUUGAUCAUCGUAUCGAACGCGGAAGGUUAACGCUUUUUUAUCUGUAUACACGUCAACGCCCUAUCACAAAAAUCUCGGAUAAAUUUUACGUAUCCAGGAGUCGAAGUAAAUCAUCAUCGAGUAAAGCGAACAUCGGCCUACAUCUCGAUCGUUUUCGACGCGUCACUUUGUGAGCCGCUUAAGAAUUUUCGUCGAGAAUUUCCCGCGUUCGAGGAAAUGUAAAAGAAGAGGAGUUGUGCGGAAGGAAAGUGUUAGCGUAGGUGAAGGGGAAAGAUCGCGAGAGGGGAGGCGAUCGAAUAAAAAGUAAUGGUUCGAAAAUCGAGGGGAUCUUUGGCGAAAAGUCGCCCCGACACCUUUUAAGCCCGAAGACGGACGUUCCUCCAUCCACCCCUUUCGUUUUUGCCCUUUUAGCUUAAAUUCGACGCGACACGAUCGCGAUCAACCUGCUCUCUCUCGCGUACAGAGGCGAAAUUAAGCUGCAGUUAAGUGCAGGCCUGAUGAAAAAUUAACGGUGACUGGAGGCGCGGAUUUCCUUCGUUUCGCCUUUAUGGAAAUUUCGGGACGAAAUUGUUUUCCCUUCCAUCCCUCCUCUCCCCCCUCCUAUUCGUCCAUCCUCCUCCUCCUCCACGCUCUGCUUCGCACAAACGAAAUUGUUUUCGAAAUUUAUUGGGACAGAGUGCACCGCUGCUCGUCGUCAUCCCCGUGACGAUUUGUGAUCCAUCUGUUAUACGAGUACUCCAUCGUGUCGUGAACACAUUGCCGUGAUAUUAAUCGUAAAGAAAGUUACGAGACUGUCUAAUCGUUGAAACGAAAUCGUUUCAAUUAUCGUCGUGACCGGUCUAACUAAAUUAAAAAUAACGAUAAUUUUCGCUGGGCCAAGAUUCUACGAUUCUUCUCCUUCUCGACGGUCGUCGAGUCGAGGAUAUCGAAUGGUUUCCAAAUAUACGAUAAAGCGCGAUAAAAUUGCGGCACCGGUAUCGAUAUUCGCCUUAUCGCGAAUCAAUCACCCGAUAGCGAGAGACUCGUUUCGAGACUCGGAUGCCUCGUCAUUUUCGCGUUGCCGUGACUCCCUCUUCUCCCUCCUCCCCCUCCUGAUUGCCUUUCAAUUUUCGCAUCUAGACACGUGGUCGAUCGAGAUAAUUAAUUCGAGAAACUCGUCGAUGAUUAUCUUUUUUUUUUCUUCUUCUUCUUUUUUUCUUUUUCUUUUUCCUCCGGCAGGAGAGAGAACUCGAGGCACAAUUUCAUUCCCAAUAAUCAUCUUUCCCCCGCGUUGAAUUGAAAAUUUCCAACUUUGAUCCUUGGUCCUAGAGGGAUGAAAGAGAAGCACAAGGAAGAGGCGAGGCCAAUAGUUAUCAGACGCAUCGUAUCCCGGAAGAAUUUUUCCUUGCACACACUCUUCUCUUCUCUUCUCUUCUCCUUUUCGUCCUUCCCUUCCCGCAUCGUGGAAACCGUCGUCGCGUUCUCUAUCUUCUCUUUCUGUUCCUCUUUUUCUCCCUUUCUCCUCUCCUCUUCACAUUUAUCCGUGGAAAGCUCGAGCCGCCCAUUAUCGCUGGAGAGAUAAUUAAAAAGGCAGGCGCGGGAGAGAUAUUAAAGCGUCGAAGAGAGGGUAGGCCCUUAUCAGCGGGCCGUUAUCGUUCGACGGCCAUGUUGGGGUCGACUUCUUCUCAUCCUCUUUGCAUCUCUGUUUCUUUUCGCCGUCUUCUCCUUUUCUCUCUCUCUCUCAUCCUCGUACAAUACUCUUUUCAUCUUGGAAAGCAUUUCUCUCUUUCCUCCCUUCCCCCCUCACUUCUCUCCACGCGAUAUCGAUAAUCGUUUAACGGUCUAGAUUAUCGAAUCGAAUCGUACCGGUAUCGUGCCAUCCCUGCUCAACCGGCAGUCGGAGAUUAGAAAACACGGUCGUCAAUGUUUCCGAUCGAUAGCUUAUCCGAUCGACAGCGUUUUUCGACGUUCUUUUGGAAAAGAAUUAGUGCUUCCAACGAGUGCUUAACGUUCCUUCCUCCGAUUCCCUUGCUUCUUACUCAACACCCCGCCGUUAUACACACCCUCGUCCCAUUUUAUUUUUUUCCCACGAAUAUACCACGAUUGAGGAUCUCGGGCUCCUCUCGAUCAGGGAUAAAAAUAAUUUAUCGCGUAUCGGCGCAAGGCUGUGUCACGUACCUCGUGUAUAACGUGAGCGAACUCGCGAGAUUCUCGCGAGAAAAAUGUGCAAAAGGAAGGAAAAUGGAAGAGAUCUCGAGGGUGGAAGAACCGGUGACGUCACGCCACCCGCUCGACAUCUUAUUUCCUACGUGUCCGAUACCGUACGAGUAAUCUACAAAAGGAACAGGCCAGAACGGGCCAGCUGCUUUUCCUCCCCCCUUUUGUUUCUUUCCCCUUUAUUCCAGGUUGGAGAACCGGCGAGUGAGAAUGCGCACGCCGGAUCCUCGUCCUCGACCCUGUCCCGCCUCUAAUGUAGAUCUCUCUGCCGAUAAAGUUAUCGGCAGACGAAAGGGGAAAAUUGCACGCUCCACGUCGAUGCUAAGGUCGAGAGAGAAGGAGUGAAAGAAAGGAAAGAAAAGAAAAGAAGAAAAAUUCGCUUUUCAUUCGCUCGCGUCACUCAACCUGUAAAUCGCGAGAGAUCCGGCGGCGAGAAACUGAUUUCUAUCUCGUGUCAUCUCGUCCGUGUGUAUGUGCGCGCGUGGUACGAAACGGAUGCGUUAAUAUUCUUAAAAGAAUUCUUCUCGCGUGGUGGUUCCUCUCGGGGGCGUGGGUUGCUCUAACCUCGACCACGCGACGAAGGAGAAGAAGAAGAGGAGGAGGAGGAGGAGGAGGAGGGAGCACGAUCGUAUAAUCGAUGCAACAUUUAUUACGUAACGAGAUCUAGAAAACAGCUGGCACGAGCGAAGGUCACCGGCCAUGGAAUAUAAUUAGUCCGACACUUAUGGAACGUCAGGCCAGCUAUGGUUCGCAGUGGCCGCAACGAGGUAGACGAGGAGGUAGUAGUCUAGGCACUUGGAGAUCGGCCUUUGCGCGACACGUGUGCCCAUGGACAACGUUAUUUCCUUCUCGAAUACGGGUCCUUGGUCUGAAUGCUACGCCGCCAUAAAAGGAACGAAAUGGCCAGCCGAUGAUCGAUAUCGGGGAGAAAAAUAUUUCAAGAAAUAAUCAGCUAUUUUUUCAGAAGGCAGAAACUUCCUAGUGAACCUCCCGUUAUGGCAUUAACUCGGGACAUUAUCGGGGGACUAUCGAUCAUUCAAGGAAGCCUGGCGACGAAUCCGUGGAUUUUCCAAAUAGGAGGCAACCGAUGGGGAGACUACGUGGUAAUUGCGACAGUUGUAAUUACCAGUGUAUUAACCGUUGCAAAUGUCGAACGAGCCAACCUCGAGCCCGCAAGGUUUCCCCCGUAAAUAGGGGAAGAAGAUUGUCCAAUUAACUGUCUCGUUUAAUUGAAUCUUAUUUCCUUUUCACUUGGUCCAGUUUCAUUGGGGCUUCUGCGCUUUAUCGCGUGAGUCGAAUGUAAUGCACAGCGAGGUCGGAAGCUUGGCCAAAGAACGACCCACGACAAAAGUAAUUUAAAUCUCUCUCUUUCUCUCUCUCUCUCUCUGCUGGUAAAUCGUGAAACGAUUAAUUGUAGGAGGGAUCGAGUUGAACGUCGCGGGAUAUUUUUGGCUGUACUCCCGCCCACUCCAGCCUUCGACAGCUCGCAAAUUGUCGUCGUCGAGUGGCGCGUGAAUAUCGUGGAAACGGACUGUUCUACCGUUUAAUGCCCGUUUAGACGCGCAGGGUAUUCUUUCAAAUUUUUUCAGACAAUUCGUUUUGCUGCCGGUGGAACGAGGAAGAGGAGCAAGGGAUGAAGAUGGAGGGGUGGGGAAGGGAGAGCUCGAGGAGAGAAAGGAGGAUGGUGGUAGGAAGGAGCAAUUCCUCGGGACGAGACGAGACGAGACGAGACGAGACGGAGGUGAAGGUAUUCUUUUUAAGGCGGAACACUUUACUGCUGCUCGUUCCACGCUGGUAAUGGAGAAUCCCCCAGCCGCCCCAACGAAUUAAUUCGGGGCUAACGCCGAGACACUCCCCGAUAUCGAGUCACUUCGUUCCACGGGCCAGUGUUAGUAUCUGCUUUCCACCCUCUCGGUUAGCUUUUCAUUGUACUUACUUGGUCUUGUACUUGGACUCGGUUUGCCUCCUUUUUUUCUUCUUUUUUUUUUUUUUUAUCCCCCUCCACCAUCAACGAUUUCUAAUUUAUCCGCUAAUUUGUCCAAGAUCCUUGAAUCCGUUUCACUGGGUCAUUUAAAAAAAAAAAAAAAAAAAGAAAGAAAGAAAGAAA